GGCGCUGUAGCCAAGUGGUUAAGGCGAUUGAUUCGAAUGCAUGGUCGCACAUAAUCGAUAUCAAUUCCACUUUGUGGGCGCAGGUUCAAAUCCUGCCGGCGUCG
rfam:Fistulina hepatica ATCC 64428 unplaced genomic scaffold FISHEscaffold_24, whole genome shotgun sequence.